UGGAUUUGUGGAUGCUUUGUGUUAAUGGAGGAAAUUCCUUUGUCUGGCACAAUGGAGUCAGAACCAGAGGGAUCAGAGUACUGGUCCUCAUGACUUUGCCAUGACUUCUGGCUCCCAGAUGUCUGCAGUUCAUAGACUGAGAACCGCCUACUCAAGGGUACUGUUGCAUACCUUUUUAGAAGCACUGAACUGGGAAUAUCAAGAAAAGCUUCCCAUAGGAGGUGGCACGAGCUGAACCUGGAAGGGAGUGAGGGAUCCUAACACGUAGAGAAGAGAGGAAAGUGUAUUUCAAGAACUCGCAUUGGAGCAGGCCGUGGAAUGUCAAGCUCGUGGAGAAAGCGGGUUAAUCUUGGCUGGAACGUAAGAGUACAUAAAAAGGAAUGAUGUGAAAUAAACUUGGAAAUAUAAAAUGCAAUCCAGCUGUGAAGGGCUUGACAUGAUAGCCUAAAAGAGCUGGAAACUAAGAGGGCUAUUUGGAAAAUGGACAAACAAAUUAUGAUAUAUGUAUGUAAUGGAGCAUUAUUACACCUUCAGAAAUGAUGAAAGGAAUAGUUUCAGAAAAACCUGGGGAGGCUCAUAGAAACUGAUGGAGUGAAGUGAGCAGAACGAGGGCAACAUUUUAUACAAUGAGAAUAAUGCCAAAAAGAAAAACUACUUGGAAAGACUUAAGAAUUCUGAUCAAUGCAAUGACCAAACACACCUCCAGAGGACCAAAGAUGGCAUCUGCUGUCCACUUCCUAACUGAAAGGUCAUAGAUCCCAGGCGCAGGAUGAGUUAGACAGUUUUGGAUAUGCAUUUGAUAUACUUUUUGAUAUAUAUGCUUAUGAGUUUAUUUGUGAGGUGAAUGGUGACCAUGUAACCAAAAGAAAGGGAAAAUAAACAAAAGAGGAACCUUGACAACUUUAAAAAGGGACAGAAGGAAGUUUGAAGGAAACACAGAUAAGCAGAACAUCUUUGAAAAUAACAUGCUAAAUUUAUUAUAUACUUUUAAAGAGUAAGAUCCAUGGUUUCACAUAUAAGUUCUCUCUCUCUCUCUCUCUCUCUCUCUCUCUCUC